rnacentral:rRNA from 1 species
UACGUAGGGUGCGAGCGUUGUCCGGAAUUAUUGGGCGUAAAGGGCUCGUAGGCGGUUUGUCGCGUUGGGAGUGAAAACUCAGGGCUUAACCCUGAGCCUGCUUCCGAUACGGGCAGACUAGAGGUAUGCAGGGGAGAACGGAAUUCCUGGUGUAGCGGUGAAAUGCGCAGAUAUCAGGAGGAACACCGGUGGCGAAGGCGGUUCUCUGGGCAGUAACUGACGCUGAGGAGCGAAAGCGUGGGGAGCGAACAGG